UACGUAGGGUGCAAGCGUUAAUCGGAAUUACUGGGCGUAAAGCGUGCGCAGGCGGUUCGCUAAGACCGAUGUGAAAUCCCCGGGCUCAACCUGGGAACGGCGCGCGAAACGGGAGGGCUGGAGUUCGGGAGAGGAGAGUGGAAUUCCCAGUGUAGAGGUGAAAUUCGUAGAUAUUGGGAAGGAACACCGGUGGCGAAGGCGGCCUGCUGGGCUAUGGCUGACACUGAGGCGCGACAGCGUGGGGAGCAAACAGG
rnacentral:rRNA from 1 species